rnacentral:rRNA from 1 species
AUGUUCUCAUCAACGUCGCUAUCCCGCGUCAACAACAUCCGCGCCGCCCUCUCCAAUGCGCAGAAAGGAACACAAUCGGUGGCCACCUUCUUCGCGUAUAUGCGGGGACUCGCCGAUGAGCUCGCUGCGGCUGGCAAGCCGUUGAGGGAUGAUGAUGAGUUAAUCUCUUAUAUCCUCAACGGGCUUGACAUGGAGUACCAGCCAUUGGUGUCCGCCCUUGACGCGCGCACCACUCCGGUCACCCUCGACGAGCUGUUCGGGCAGAUGAGCAACUUCAACCAGCGGAUGGCUCUUUUCCAGGGAGCGGGCGCGGCAGGCGGCUUCAAGUCGUCGGCAAACGUUGCCACUCGCGGCCGGGGCGGAGGCUCCCGCUACCGGGGUCCACCUCGGACCGGCAAGGGCCGGGGCAACGGGAACGGCAACGGCAACAACAGCGGCCGGCGCAACAACUCCUCCAACAACCGAUCACGCCCUGAUGCAAUCAGGUGCCAAAUCUGUGGCAAGCCGGGACACUCGGCGAAAGAUUGUUGGUACCGUUUUGAAGAAGAUGAAGAUGAUUCCUCCCAAGAUGAGAAGGUG